rnacentral:rRNA from 1 species
GACGAACCACACGAACGUUAUUCGGAAUUACUGGGCUUAAAGGGUGCGUAGGCGGUGCAGAAAGUUGGGUGUGAAAGCCCUCGGCUCAACCGAGGAACUGCGCCCAAAACUACUGUGCUUGAGGAAGAUAGAGGUAAGCGGAACUUACGGUGGAGCGGUGAAAUGCGUUGAUAUCGUAAGGAACACCUGUGGCGAAAGCGGCUUACUGGGUCUUUUCUGACGCUGAUGCACGAAAGCCAGGGGAGCAAAUGGG